UACGUAGGGUGCAAGCGUUGUCCGGAAUUAUUGGGCGUAAAGAGCUCGUAGGCGGUUUGUUGCGUCGGCUGUGAAAUCCCGAGGCUCAACCUCGGGUCUGCAGUCGAUACGAGCAAACUAGAGUGUUGCAGGGGAGACUGGAAUUCCUGGUGUAGCGGUGAAAUGCGCAGAUAUCAGGAGGAACACCAGCGGCGAAGGCGGCGCUCUGGGCCGGAACUGACGCUGAUGAGCGAAAGCGUGGGGAGCAAACAGG
rnacentral:rRNA from 1 species